rnacentral:snRNA from 1 species
UUGCUCACUUUGGCAACACAUAUGCUAAAAUUGAAAUGAUACAGAAAAGAUGAGUACAGCUCCUGUACAAGGAUAACACACAAACCCAUGAAAUGUUCAAAAAUAAA